CAGUCGCCGCGGGAAUACGAAGGGGGCUAGCGUUGUUCGGAUUUACUGGGCGUAAAGCGCACGUAGGCGGAUCGAUCAGUCAGGGGUGAAAUCCCAGAGCUCAACUCUGGAACUGCCUUUGAUACUGUCGAUCUGGAGUAUGGAAGAGGUGAGUGGAAUUCCGAGUGUAGAGGUGAAAUUCGUAGAUAUUCGGAGGAACACCAGUGGCGAAGGCGGCUCACUGGUCCAUUACUGACGCUGAGGUGCGAAAGCGUGGGGAGCAAACAGGAUUAGAUACCCGUGUAGUCCCUGUCUCUUAUAC
rnacentral:rRNA from 1 species